rnacentral:rRNA from 1 species
GGGGAGGUUAACUGGCAAUCUCGACCGGGGCCGCGCAGGCUGAAGGCUUUUUCGGAAGCGGAAGCCUGCGCUGCCCAGUGGCGGACGGGUGAGUAACGCGUGGGCAACCUGCCCUGCACUGGGGGACAACAGCCGGAAACGGCUGCUAAUACCGCAUAUGCCCGCAGCCCCGCAUGGGGCGGCGGGGGAAGCUCCGGCGGUGCAGGAUGGGCCCGCGUCUGAUUAGCUGGUUGGCGGGGCAACGGCCCACCAAGGCGACGAUCAGUAGCCGGCCUGAGAGGGUGGGCGGCCACAUUGGGACUGAGACACGGCCCAGACUCCUACGGGAGGCAGCAGUGGGGGAUAUUGCACAAUGGGGGGAACCCUGAUGCAGCGACGCCGCGUGGGCGAUGGAGUGCUUCGGCAUGUAAAGCCCUAUCAGCAGGGAAGAAAAUGACGGUACCUGACUAAGAAGCCCCGGCUAAAUACGUGCCAGCAGCCGCGGUAAUACGUAUGGGGCAAGCGUUAUCCGGAUUUACUGGGUGUAAAGGGAGCGUAGGCGGCCUGGCAAGCCUGAUGUGAAAUACCGGGGCCCAACCCCGGGGCUGCAUUGGGAACUGCCAGGCUGGAGUGCCGGAGAGGCAGGCGGAAUUCCUAGUGUAGCGGUGAAA